UACGUAGGGGGCAAGCGUUGUCCGGAAUCAUUGGGCGUAAAGCGCGCGUAGGCGGCCCUGUAAGUCCGUUGUGAAAGUCAAAGGCUCAACCUUUGAAAGCCGAUGGAUACUGCAGGGCUAGAGUCCGGAAGAGGCGAGUGGAAUUCCUGGUGUAGCGGUGGAAUGCGCAGAUAUCAGGAGGAACACCAGUGGCGAAGGCGGUUGCCUGGAGCUUUGCUGACGCUGAUGCGCGAAAGCGUGGGGAGCGAUCCGG
rnacentral:rRNA from 1 species